UACAGAGGUGGCAAGCGUUGUUCGGAAUUACUGGGCGUAAAGGGCGCGUAGGCGGUCAGGUCAGUCCCGUGUGAAAUCCCUCGGCUCAACUGAGGAACUGCACGGGAAACUGCCUGGCUUGAGUUCGGGAGAGGGAAGCGGAAUUCCGGGUGUAGCGGUGAAAUGCGUAGAUAUCCGGAGGAACACCGGUGGCGAAGGCGGCUUCCUGGACCGACACUGACGCUGAUGCGCGAAAGCUAGGGGAGCAAACAGG
rnacentral:rRNA from 1 species